rnacentral:rRNA from 1 species
AUUCCUACGGGAGGCAGCAGUGGGGAAUCUUCCGCAAUGGGCGAAAGCCUGACGGAGCAACGCCGCGUGAGUGAAGAAGGCCUUCGGGUCGUAAAACUCUGUCUUCAGGGAAGAAAAAAAUGACGGUACCUGAGGAGGAAGCCCCGGCUAACUACGUGCCAGCAGCCGCGGUAAAACGUAGGGGGCGAGCGUUGUCCGGAAUUACUGGGCGUAAAGGGCGCGUAGGCGGUCAUUUAAGUCAGAGGUGAAAACUACCGGCUCAACCGGUAGCCUGCCUUUGAAACUGGAUGACUUGAGGGCAGGAGAGGGGAGUGGAAUUCCCAGUGUAGCGGUGAAAUGCGUAGAUAUUGGGAGGAACACCAGUGGCGAAGGCGGCUCUCUGGCCUGUUUCUGACGCUGAGGCGCGAAAGCGUGGGGAGCGAACGGGAUUAGAUACCCCGGUAGUCCACGCCGUAAACGAUGGGUGCUAGGUGUAGGAGGUAUCGACCCCUUCUGUGCCGUAGCUAACGCAAUAAGCACCCCGCCUGGGGAGUACGGCCGCAAGGUUGAAACUCAAAGGAAUUGACGGAAU